rnacentral:rRNA from 1 species
AUUGAACGCUGGCGGCAUGCUUUACACAUGCAAGUCGAACGGUAACAGGGAGCUUGCUCCGCUGACGAGUGGCGAACGGGUGAGUAAUGCGUCGGAACGUGCCGAGUAGUGGGGGAUAACGCAUCGAAAGGUGUGCUAAUACCGCAUACGUACUGAGGUAGAAAGUGGGGGACCUUCGGGCCUCACGCUAUUCGAGCGGCCGACGUCUGAUUAGCUAGUUGGUGAGGUAAAGGCUCACCAAGGCGACGAUCAGUAGCGGGUCUGAGAGGAUGAUACGACAGACUGGGAGUGAGAGACGGCCCAGACUCCGACGGGAGGCAGCAGUGGGGAAUUUUGGACAAUGGGCGCAAGCCUGAUCCAGCCAUGCCGCGUGUCUGAAGAAGGCCUUCGGGUUGUAAAGGACUUUUGUCCGGGAGCAAAUGCUGGUGGCUAACAUCCACCGGAGCUGAGAGUACCGGAAGAAUAAGCACCGGCUAACUACGUGCCAGCCGCCGCCGUAAAAC